UAAUCAAGUGUUUUUAUGGCACUUUAAAAAUCCAUAUCCACCUUGUGUGCAAUGUCAUCUCUCUGGGGGCUGCCGGCUGUCAAAAGCCGUGUGGUCACCUUUGGGAUUUAUAUCUACUCAGAACUUUAGUGAUUUUGUCUGAAACAUAUUAUGAAUACUUAAUUCAAAAUA
rnacentral:misc_RNA from 1 species